GGUCGCAGGUUCGAAUCCUGCACGACCCACCAAUUUAACAUCAAACUCAGAUGUUGAACGUGAAGGAUAACGUUGCGUCAGCAACGGCCCGUAGGGCAGGGCGAAGCCGAGUCAUCCUGCACGACCCACCA
rnacentral:sRNA from 2 species